CCCAGCCUGGGUAACAUCAAAAUAAGCGAUUUUUCGAACGUACAAGGUGAGACAAAUAAAAAUGGCGGAGCAUAAUGUUCAACGAAAUCGAAUAUUAUUGCUUUGUAUAAUAAUAAAUAGUUACAGAUUAUUAGAAAUAUUAAUGAAAGUUAUAGAAGAAAUAAGUGAAAGUGCAGAAACAAGUGAACAUGAUUUUAGUGAAAUUGUUUUACCAGAAAUUCAGCGGAUCCGAGAAAAACGGCACAAACCUGCGCGGAUAACAGGUUAUGUUAAUAAUGUAAUUCCUCGUUACACGACAAAAUAGUUUCGGCAUCAUUUUCGAAUGCUACCUGAAGUUUUUGAGGUUCUAGAAAAUCGUCGAGGACAAUCAUUAUCUAAUGCUGAAACUGUAGGACGUAAAAUGAUUCCUGUGCGUACACAGCUAUUGUCAACAAUCUGGCUUCUUAGUACACCAGAUUUCUUCAGAUUGUUUUACGGGGUAUCCAGGAUCGGUAGGGGAUUAUAGAGUUUUUCGCAAUUCAGAAUCUGUACAAAAAAGUUUGUAGAGAUUCUUCUGCUUUUUUCCCAACGGAGAAUUUAUUGUUGGCCAUAAAGCAUAUCCCGUCCUGACAUGGUGUAUUCCUCCAUUUCUAAACAAUGGAUGUCUUACACAAGAGCAAACGAAUUUUAAUAAAGUAGUGUCGCAAAAACGGCAAGUUACAGAAAGAGCUUUUGCUCUAUUAAAAGGACGAUUUAGACGUCUCAAGUUCCUUGAUAUGUCUUGUUUGGCCUUGAUACCAUACUUUAUUAUUGCAGCCUGCGUUUUUCACAACAUCUGCCUGGAAAACAUUGAUGAUAAUGUGGAAAAGUUCGUUGAAGAAGGAAGAGAGCUAUAUGAAGUAGAAAAUAAUAAUAAUAAUAAUAAUAAUAAUAGAGAAAAUAUAGAAUAUGAUCAUGAAGAACACGAAUUAGUUGAUGGCGAUGUAAAGCGUAAUUAUUUGCGCCUUCGAGUUGCUGGUAGGCAGUAAUAGUUUUAUUAUAAUAAAACAUUAUUUUAAAAAAUAAAUAAAACUUUCACACGCGACUAUUAAAAAUUUGUAAGAUCUAUAAAAAAAACAAUUGUCUUUAAAAAUAUGUGAGCAUGUCAAAUAAAUGAUACGUUGUUUUUACUUUAUCAUAAAAAAUUUAUCUUGUCAUAAAACAAAAAAGCAUCAAAAUUCAUUAAAUCUUUUUUUUAAAUGUUUAUAUCAGACUACGUAUUAAACAUUCAAGAUUAAAAUUUAAUCAAUCAAAACAAGAAGAGUUAAAAUUUCUUUGUCCUCUCAGGUUUCAAUCUCAAUCUAUAAUGCGUCUAAUACAG